UACGAAGGGGGCUAGCGUUGCUCGGAAUCACUGGGCGUAAAGCGCACGUAGGCGGAUCUUUAAGUCAGGGGUGAAAUCCCAAGGCUCAACCUUGGAACUGCCUUUGAUACUGGGGAUCUCGAGUCCGGAAGAGGUUGGUGGAACUGCGAGUGUAGAGGUGAAAUUCGUAGAUAUUGGGAAGAACACCAGUGGCGAAGGCGGCUCACUGGCUCGUAACUGACGCUCAGGCGCGACAGCGUGGGGAUCAAACAGG
rnacentral:rRNA from 1 species